GGAGCUGUGCUGCUGGGGCCCUGACAGGCUCUGUGUUCCCAGGGAUGGCCGGGCGGCUCCUGAGGGGGCAGCAGGAAGAGCUACAGGCCCUCACUGAGGCACUUCAAGCCCUGAGGAGAGAUGGCAACCCUUCCCAUUCAAACACAGCACUUCAGGAGAUAUUCAGUGAAAGAGCUGCAGAACUAUACUCAUCUGCUGGCUCAGAAUAACCAGUGUUCAUUUAAGACCUUCAGAUGCCUUGGAAGAUGAGAUUACACUGAGACCAGAAGGGACCAGCUGGAGCUCAAGCACUGCUGAUGACUGUCACAGCUGAGCCUGUGGGAAGCUCUUGUGGCUUCAGCCCUCUCCCUGCCUCUAGAUAGCUCCCUCCCUGCAGCCCUCAGACACUGCCCAUGCCUUCUUUUUCCCUCCACUCUCCCUCCCUUUUGACAGCUCCCUCCCUCCAGCCCUCAGACCAUGCCCAUCCCCAUUUUUGCCUCUCAGCUCAUCCGUUUGCUUCGCUUUCCAUCAAUAAACAGUUUGACUUUUUCACUUAAA